CACGUAGGCGGAUUGUUAAGUUAGGGUGAAAUCCCAGGGCUCAACCCUGGAACUGCCUUUAAUACUGGCAAUCUAGAGUCCGGAAGAGGUGGGUGGAACUCCUAGUGUAGAGGUGGAAUUCGUAGAUAUUAGGAAGAACACCAGUGGCGAAGGCGGCUCACUGGUCCGGUACUGACGCUGAGGUGCGAAAGCGUGGGGAGCAAACA
rnacentral:rRNA from 1 species